rnacentral:lncRNA from 12 species
GGGGGGGGGGGGGGGGGGGGGGGGGGGGGGGGGGGGGGGGGGGGGGGGGGGGGGGGGGGGGGGGGGGGGGGGAAUGACGUUAUGGCCUGGUCCUCGGCGAGCAGGAGUGGUGGAUGCCCGGCAGUGGGUGCAGAGGGCAGGAAGGAGCUGCGUGUGCCCUGCCCGGGGAGUGUCUGGUGCGACACUGCCAGGAACUCACAGGUGGAAAGAGUAAAGUGAUCUGCUGGAUUUACAUUGAGAACGAGAGAUGGGUGGAUCCUAUACUUAGAAGGGCAAAGGAACUUCACAUGGCAAAAGGAGACACCUAA